rnacentral:rRNA from 1 species
UACGGAGGGUGCAAGCGUUAUCCGGAUUUACUGGGUUUAAAGGGUGUGUAGGCGGGCUUUUAAGUCAGUGGUGAAAUCUCCGGGCUCAACCUGGAAACUGCCAUUGAUACUAUUAGUCUUGAAUUCUGUUGAGGUAGGCGGAAUAAGUCAUGUAGCGGUGAAAUGCUUAGAGAUGACCCGGAACACCAAUUGCGAAGGCAGCUCACUGGGCAAUUAUUGACGCUGAGGCACGAAAGCGUGGGGAUCAAACAGG